rnacentral:misc_RNA from 1 species
GAAAUGCGAUACUUGGUGUGAAUUGCAGAAUCCCAUGAACCAUCAAGUCUUUGAAUGCAAGUUGCGCCCGAAGCCAUUAGGUUGAGGGCACGUCAGCUUGGGUGUCUUACGUUGUGUCGCCCAUACCCCCUCUCCGAAGGGAAGGGUUGCAGGCGGAUGUUGGCCCCCCGCAUGCGCCCGCACACGAUCAGUCUAAAAAUGAGCCCCUUGUGAUAAAUGACACAUCUCGAUGAGUGGUGGUUGACAAACUGUUAUGUCGCCUCACGUGAGUUAAAGUCAUCCUGGGAGGUCUGUUGUGACCCUAUCGCACCGCUGCCAAGACGUUCCGAUCGCGACCCCAGGUUAGGCGGGAUUUCCCACUAAGUUUAA